AAUUCCAAAAAUGUUUCUUAAAUUGAAAGUUUAAGGUAAAGGCAGGUAAACUACUCUGAAUUUUUGAAAAUAAAAAGGCAAAUAUAUUAAAUUAAUCCUACCUUUUGCAUAAUGGUUUAUUUAAAUUAUGAUUAAAUUUAUUUAAUCAUUCGAAUUAAGAAGAUCUACCAAAGAAUUAGUUAAUUGUAGUAUAAAUUUUUUUAGAAAUCUCUGUUAGGGGCGAAACGCCUACAUUUCUUAAGAUAUCUAAUUUAGUUGGAAAUAUAUUUAGUAUAGGCCAUGUGCUCAAAAGUAGACUAAUUAGAGUUUACUUAAAUAGAAAAUUUAAUUUUGUUGUUGCUUUAUGAAAUAAAAUUUUUAUAGGUUAAAAAUUAACAAUUAUUCUUGUAUUUUUUCUGAAAUUUACAACAUAUACUAACUAAAAUUUAUUUUUUAGUUAAAAAUGAUAAAAUUAGUAUAAAAAAUAAAUUUUAUAAAAGGAACUCGACAAAACCUUCUAACAACUGUUUAUCAAAAACAUAGCCUGUAGAAAUAAUUAUAGGUUUAUUCUGCCCAAUGUGUUUAUAUAAAUGGCCGCAGUACUUUGACUGUGCUAAGGUAGCAAAAUAAUUUGACUCUUAAUUGGAGCCCUGUAUGAAAGGAAUUAUGUUAGAGAGUUGUCUUUUAUGAUGAUUAUAAAAUUUACUUAUUUGGUGAAAAUUCCAAUAAAAAAAUAUUAGACGAGAAGACCCUUAGAAUUUUAAGAAAUAUGUAAAUAUUACAAGUGCUUUUUGUUGGGGCGACAGAGUAUACACAAAAACUUACUUACUACAUUCACAUACCUAUAACUUAAUUAAGAAAAUAAUUACCUAAGGGAUAACAGCAUUAUAAUUUCAUUUGUUUGUGACCUCGAUGUUGGAUUAGGGACUAUUGCAAUUAGAAAUUGUAAUAGAAACUUCUGUUCGAAGUAUAUUUACCUACAUGAUCUGAGUUCAGACCGGCGUAAGCCAGGUCAGUUUCUAUCUUUUUUAUUUAUACUUUUAGUACGAAAGGACCAGAGUGUAUUUUU
rnacentral:rRNA from 1 species